AGUGAACGCUGGCGGUAGGCCUAACGCAUGCAAGUCGAACGGCAGCACAGUAAGAGCUUGCUCUUACGGGUGGCGAGUGGCGGACGGGUGAGGAAUACAUCGGAAUCUACUUUUUCGUGGGGGAUAACGGAGGGAAACUUACGCUAAUACCGCAUACGACCUACGGGUGAAAGCAGGGGAUCUUCGGACCUUGCGCGAUUGAAUGAGCCGAUGCCGGAUUAGCUAGUUGGCGGGGUAAAGGCCCACCAAGGCGACGAUCCGUAGCUGGUCUGAGAGGAUGAUCGGCCACACUGGAACUGAGACACGGUCCAGACUCCUACGGGAGGCAGCAGUGGGGAAUAUUGGACAAUGGGCGCAAGCCUGAUGCAGCAAUACCGCGUGGGUGAAGAAGGCCUUCGGGUUGUAAAGCCCUUUUGUUGGGAAAGAAAAGCAGCGGGUUAAUACCCCGCUGUUCUGACGGUACCCAAAGAGUAAGCACCGGCUAACUUCGUG
rnacentral:rRNA from 1 species